UAAAUCUACAGUGGAACUAAUCGAGAACCAAACUCUUUGGUGCUUGGUGGUGGUUAUAUGCUGAAGCCACAUGGUUUCUCAAGAUUUCUUGGCUUUUCCUACAGCUGUGGCAGGCAUCGGCUUCAGUUCCAGACAGGAAGUUGGCCCGGACACACACCAGCCACAUCUGUGCUGUGGUUCCUACAGCCUCCACCACCGACUGCAUCUCACUUCCCUCCAUAGGCCUGCCCUGGACUCAGAGCACCUAGAAGGCUGCCCUGCUUGGAAGCAGCCUUUGUGCAACCCAGGUGUGACAUGGAAAUAAUACACAUGGAAGCUUCAUUUGUCUGUUGAUAAACUUCUUGCCAUAAUCCUGCCAGUUCCUCAGAUUCCUGCAAUUUUUAACUGUGUUCUCCUACUUUGAGAAUCCUAAGGACAUAAACCUUUAACAUUUCCUUACAAGUCUGUAUGUCAUGAUGGUGAAACCCAGAUUUGCCACCGCUGGUCCUAGUUUUCUGGGGUUGGGAGUCAAAAUGUGAGCAAGUUCAGAUGACCUUGCCUAUGAAUCCCCCAGGAUCUCUCUAGGCCAAGAAAACAAAAGCCUUUCCGGUACUGCUGAUGCGGUGCUUCAGGAGCAUCCUGUCUGCCUGGACUCAUUCAGAAGCCCUUCUUCUCUGUGUGGCUCAACUAUGGGACAUCUGAUGGUGGCUCGGCUCACAUGUAUGUUUGAUUUCCUCCGUGGAAGACGAAAAAGGAACCAGACCAAAUGCAAUUUUAAAAAGUAGUGUAACACUUCUGGCAUGGACCUGGAAAAUCUAGAAUCCAAUCUUAGCUCUGCUGCCACCUGACUGCGCACCUCUCAGCAAAUUACUUCGCUUCUCUGGGCCCAAGUUUGCUUAUCUUUAGAGUGGAGAGGUGGGGCGGUGCUAUAGGAUUCCUCUAGCUCUCACAUGUCAAGAUCCUUUUUAAACAUACAUUUUCGUUUUUUACAACAGAGGAAAAGAAGAUACAUCUAACACUUUUCUGUUCACCACAAAGUCUAAAGCAUCAGAACUCACCAAUAUUCCUUUGUAUCAAAUUUCUCUGUGUUGAUUGUCUAACCUGGUUUCAAUCCUCUUUCCCCCUCACAGGGGGAACAGCUAUUCUAAGUAUAGUGUUUAUUAUUCUUUGCAUUUCUUUAUACUUUCAUGAUAGACAUUUGUACUGGUAAGCAAUAUAUGGUACUGUCAUGCCUCUUUUAACUAGAGGUAUAUAGACCGUACUUUAGUCUAUGUAUAGAGUCUAUGUAUAUUCUUUUGCACAUGGGAUUUUUUUUGUUUGAAAUUAUGUACAUGAGAGUCUUAUAUGCUGGCAGAAUUUUAUUAAUUUUUCUGUGUUAUAAGAUAGCUUAUUAAGAAUAUGCUGAAUAUAUGUAUGGAUUAUCCAGCUUUCCUUUGAUUUGUUAUUAUAAACAUCAAUAUUUUGGUAUAUGUGGCUUUAUAUACAAAGCUAUAUUCUUAGG
rnacentral:lncRNA from 1 species